rnacentral:rRNA from 1 species
GAUGAACGCUGGCGGCGUGCCUAAUACAUGCAAGUCGAGCGAACAGACGAGGAGCUUGCUCCUCUGACGUUAGCGGCGGACGGGUGAGUAACACGUGGAUAACCUACCUAUAAGACUGGGAUAACUUCGGGAAACCGGAGCUAAUACCGGAUAAUAUAUUGAACCGCAUGGUUCAAUAGUGAAAGACGGUUUUGCUGUCACUUAUAGAUGGAUCCGCGCCGCAUUAGCUAGUUGGUAAGGUAACGGCUUACCAAGGCAACGAUGCGUAGCCGACCUGAGAGGGUGAUCGGCCACACGGGAACUGAGACACGGUCCAGACUCCUACGAGAGGCAGCAGUAGGGAAUCUUCCGCAAUGGGCGAAAGCUUGACGGAGCAACGCCGCGUGAGUGAUGAAGGUCUUCGGAUCGUAAAACUCUGUUAUUAGGGAAGAACAAAUGUGUAAGUAACUGUGCACGUCUUGACGGUACCUAAUCAGAAAGCCACGGCUAACUACGUG